ACAGCAAUAUCACGUUGAAACGCCAGUUCUUGUCCAUUCACUGAAGUUAAGCAAUGUCGAGUUUGGUCAGUACUUAGACGAGUGACAGCUUGGGAAUACCAGGUGCUGUAAG